GAGUUUGAACCUGGCUCAGGAUAAACGCUGGCGGCGCACAUAAGACAUGCAAGUCGAACGAACUUAAUUCAUUCUUUUAGAUUGGAAGCGGUUAGUGGCGGACUGGUGAGUAACGCGUGAGCAACCUGCCUAUUAGAGGGGAAUAACAGUGAGAAAUCAUUGCUAAUACCGCAUAUGCUUACACUAUUGCAUGAUAGAGUAAGGAAAGGAGCAAUCCGCUAAUAGAUGGGCUCGCGCCUGAUUAGCUAGUUGGUGGGGUAGAAGCCUACCAAGGCGACGAUCAGUAGCCGGACUGAGAGGUUGAACGGCCACAUUGGGACUGAGAUACGGCCCAGACUCCUACGGGAGGCAGCAGUCGGGAAUAUUGCGCAAUGGAGGGAACUCUGACGCAGUGACGCCGCGUAUAGGAAGAAGGUUUUCGGAUUGUAAACUAUUGUCGUUAGGGAAGAAAAAAGACAGUACCUAAGGAGGAAGCCCCGGCUAACUAUGUGCCAGCAGCCGCGGUAAUACAUAGGGGGCAAGCGUUAUCCGGAAUUAUUGGGUGUAAAGGGUGCGUAGACGGGUGUUUAAGUUGGUUGUGAAAUCCCUCGGCUCAACUGAGGAACUGCAACCAAAACUGGAUAUCUUGAGUGUCGGAGAGGAAAGUGGAAUUCCUAGUGUAGCGGUGAAAUGCGUAGAUAUUAGGAGGAACACCAGUGGCGAAGGCGACUUUCUGGACGAUAACUGACGUUGAGGCA
rnacentral:rRNA from 1 species